GACGAGGGCGCGAGCGUUGUCCGGAUUUAUUGGGCGUAAAGAGCUCGUAGGCGGCUUGUCGCGUCGAAUGUGAAAACUCGGGGCUCAACUCCGAGCUUGCAUUCGAUACGGGCAGGCUAGAGUUCGGUAGGGGAGACUGGAAUUCCUGGUGUAGCGGUGAAAUGCGCAGAUAUCAGGAGGAACACCGGUGGCGAAGGCGGGUCUCUGGGCCGAUACUGACGCUGAGGAGCGAAAGCGUGGGGAGCAAACAGG
rnacentral:rRNA from 1 species